rnacentral:rRNA from 1 species
UACGAAGGGGGCGAGCGUUGUUCGGAUUUACUGGGCGUAAAGGGCGCGCAGGCGGCGCAUUUUGUCAGGCGUGAAAGCCCCGGGCUUAACCUGGGAACUGCGUUUGAUACGGAUGGGCUAGAGUUCGGGAGAGGUGAGUGGAACUGCGAGUGUAGAGGUGAAAUUCGUAGAUAUUCGCAAGAACACCAGUGGCGAAGGCGGCUCACUGGCCCGGUACUGACGCUGAGGCACGAAAGCGUGGGGAGCAAACAGG